AUAGUCAAUAGAAGUUAUACCUGGUCGGGAAAUAAAGUAUUUCGACAAAACGGUCUUAUUGUUUAAAAAUAUAGUAAUCACGUGAUCAAAGUAAGUGCAAAAAAAAAUUUACCGAUUGAAGAAAGUCCUCAGUUUUAUUCACUUCUCUUAAUUCUAAAAGCUUGCCAUUCAAUUAAUUUUAAUAUUAAUUUUGUUCAAGCUGUUUAAAUAAUUAAGUUAAAAUUAUUUUAUAACUUUUUUGAGUUAAAAAUGCCUGGAGCAAAUUGUGCUUUUUCUGAAUGUGGAAUUACAAGAAACUCUAAACACCAAGGUAUUGGAAUAUUUCAACUUCCAAAUCGGCCAGAUGAUUUUCAUCAACAAUGGAGAAAAAAUAUACUAAACAUUUUGUCAAAAUGUAGACAUUUUGACAAGCAUCUCAAAGAGCGCAUUGCAAAUGGAAAUAUCUUUCUUUGUGAACUUCAUUUUGAGCCAACAGAUAUUGAGUUUACAAAAACUGGUCGAAAAAUGUUAAAGCUUGGGGCAAUACCAUUGCUCAACAUUCCUAAGAAAUCUCAUGAAACUGUUAAAGCUCCUGAAAGAAGGCAUAAAUCUAUUGUUAAAGAUAUUUUGACUACAGAAGAAAAACAUACAGACAAAUACAAAAACUUUAGUGAACUUACUAACAUAGUAAAGAAGCUUAAACUCAAUUGGUUUAUAUCAUAUGAUAAAAACUUUAUUUCAUUUAAAUCUUUUCAAACUUUUACGUUAGUACCACAUUUAGAAGUUGUUGUUGGAUGUAGUCUAGAAUUUUUUGUUAUUGUUUAUGGAUGGACAUUGCCUGAUGACCAUCACUUGUAUAAAGAAUUUUUACGAUCAGUUCGUCAUGUUAAAAUAUCAAAAUUGUUAAAUAAAGUUCAAUCUUUACAGAUGUGUACUGGCAUAACAUAUGACUUGGUAGAUUGCGAUAAAGAUGGAAAUCUAAUAAAUCAUUCUAUUCCUCAUAAAUUUGACCUUAACAAUGAGAAAAAAGUACCAUUUAAAGCUAGUCAAUAUAAACGUCACAAAGAUUGUUUUGUUAUUGGCUCUGAUUGUGAAAAGUGUGUAAAAUGUUUAAAUUUUGAAAUUAAUUUUAUUAAAUGUAAAGUUAGUACUUCAAAAAAAAUUGAUCAACCAGCUCAUUUGAAUGCCCCAUUAUCUGUCACACAUCCAAAUCGUGUAAAGUUAGCACUCGUUGAAAAGCGUUCUAAAAAUAAAAAACUUUUGCAGAAUAUUGAAAGAAUGCAAAAGGAAAUACAGGCUAAAGGUAUUCAAGUCAGCACUUGUUUAAGUUCUGAUCUUGAUAUUAUAAUUAGUAAAAACCAAAAAAACAUGACACCAUUUAUGAAACUUUUUUGGGAAGAACAGAAUCGUUUAUUAACUAGCAAAGUUCCUAGAUAUCAUCCAAUGAUAAUUCGAUUUUGUCUUUCUCUUGCAUCUAAAUCAGCCUCAGCAUAUGAUGAACUUAGAGAUGCUAAAAUUUUAACACUUCCAAGUAGGCGGACACUACGCGGUUAUAAGAAUGCUAUUCGACCAUCUGUAGGAUUUAACCCAGCAGUGAUUGCUGAAUUAAAAGAAAAUACAAAAGACCUCUCUGAUAUUCAGCGAAAUGUUGUACUUUCUUUUGAUGAAAUACGCAUUCAAGACAAUUUAGUAUUUGACAAGUCAUCAGGUGAGCUCGUUGGAUACGUUGAUCUUGGAGACCCUGAAAUAAACUUUUCGACUUUUACUGAUGUAAAUGAUUUAGCCAGUCACUGUCUAGUAUAUUAUAUACAUGGAAUUGCAUGCGAUCUCAAAUUUUGUCUUGCAUAUUUUGCUACUAAUGGUGUAACAGCUAUGCAAAUAAUGCCAACAUUUUGGAAAGCUGUCUCUAUAUUAGAACUUUGUUGUAACUUGAAAGUAAUUGUUGCAGUUUCAGAUGGUGCCUCACCAAAUCGAUCAUUUUAUAAAAUGCAUAGUGGAUUAGACAAUCUAGAUGACUCAGAUGUUGUGUAUCGCACUAUUAAUUUAUAUGCACCUGAUAGUUUUAUAUAUUUUUUUGCAGAUGUUCCACAUCUAAUGAAAACAUUUAGAAACUGCAUGUAUCACUCUGGUGAGGGUAAAUGUACCCGUAAUCUUUGGAACCGUGAUCAGAGUAUUUUUUGGUCCCAUAUCGUUAAAAUAGUACAAGAUGAACUAAAUAACAGUCUUAAGGUUUUACCAAAACUUAGUUAUGAACAUGUUCAUUUAACUGCAUAUUCUGUAAUGAAUGUGCGAUAUGCCACUCAAGUUUUAAGUGCAAGUGUUGCAAAUAUUCUUUAUCGAUACUAUCCUCCUGAAACACAUGUUACAGCUGAACUUUGUUCACUUAUGGAUAGAUUCUUUGACUGUUUAAAUGUAAGAAACCAAAGUGAAAGUUUAUUUAAAAAGAAAUCAGACUUAGAACCUUAUCGUGAUUUGAAUGACUCUCGAUUUGAUUGGUUAUUGAAUGAUUUUUUAAACUAUUUUUCAAGUUGGAAAGAAUCUAUCAAAAAUCGUAAAGGAAAUUUUACACGCAAUGCUCGUGAUCGCAUUUUUAUUUCCUGGCAAACGUAUGAGGGUUUACUUAUAACGGUACACUCUUUUGUGAAAUCAACACGUUUUCUGUUAAGUGAAGGAAUGCCAUUUAUAUUGUCAGAGCGCUUCAAUCAAGAUGUAUUAGAAGAGUAUUUUAGAAGACAUCGUAGUCUUGGAAGAUGAAAUGAUAAUCCAACUUUAAUUCAGUUUGGCUAUCAAUCCAACACCUUGCGUAUGCAACGUUCUAUUGCACCAGUUACAGGAAAUACAUAAGGAAGUUUUAAGCAAAAACGUAGAGUUUCUUGGAAAUUUGUUGAUAAUGCUCCUUUAAAAAAACGAUCUACAAAGAAGUAAUUUACAAUCUUUUGUGUUUUUACUCGCUCAUAGGAUAGAGUGCUGUUAAUACUUCACAACAACAUUCUCACAAGUUAGGUUUAUUAUUUAUUAUUCAUUUAGUCAGGUGUUUUAAUUUUUAACAUGAAUUAAAAAACAUA
rnacentral:misc_RNA from 1 species